CGUAGGCAGCAAGCGUUGUUCGGAGUUACUGGGCGUAAAGAGUACGUAGGCGGUUUGCUAAGUCUGGUGUGAAAUCUCCUGGCUUAACUGGGAGGGUGCGCUAGAUACUGGCAGGCUUGAGUAUGGGAGAGGAGAGUGGAAUUCCUGGUGUAGCGGUGAAAUGCGUAGAUAUCAGGAGGAACGCCGGUGGUGUAGACGGCUCUCUGGACCAUUACUGACGCUGAGGUACGAAAGCGUGGGUAGCAAACAGGAUUAGAUGCCCUGGUAGUCCACGCCCUAAACGAUGCGGACUUGGUGUAGGCAGUUCAGUCUGUCUGUGCCGGAGCUAACGCGUUAAGUCCGCCGCCUGGGGAGUACGGUCGCAAGGCUG
rnacentral:rRNA from 1 species